CGCGGAAGGAAAAGCUCGGCUACCCAAGUUACUUGCUAGGCGGUUUCCGCUGCCGCGCGAUCCAUCCUGUUUGUUUUUAUCACAGAUCCGGCAGAAUUCGAUUCACCCCCACCCCCGAGAACCCCAAACUCCUGUGUACUAAAGCUUUUUGACUCCCUACACAGACUUGUCUACUUUCUCCUCAACCAGCAACCCCAGAUGGGCCCCACGCAGGAGUGUGACAAUUAAGGUCGGCCUGGCCAAUACCCAACUGUGGUUUCUUUAGCCUCGCAAGUAACAAUGGUCACAACUGUCACCAUGUGUCUCGGCACUGUUACCCCAUUGGAGAUAUGUUUUUGUUUAAAGCACAACAGAAGCGUUCUAGAAGGCUCAGGACAAACCGACUGCCUUAAAUAAACCAGGUACAAAUCUGGACACUGAGAUAAUCCCAGCCCCCUUCUCCCGCCUCGCUAGACAGGGAUCUCAAUAGAAUAUUUUAGGCUAUCAAGAUUGCUGAAAUUCUUGGCCCCUGAAGAGACAGAGCAGGCUGCCUGCCUUUCUAAACCAGAAAAGGAUGUUUCUUUCUGAUCUAAUGCAAAGGAACAGGAAACUGAAAACCACAACACUCAGAGGCACAACUUCCUGUGGGACUUCUGGUGUCUGCGGUCGGUCGGGUCGGUCGGAGCGGAGCGAAAGGAACUGAAUACAGCAGCUUUAGAAAUCUUAGAAUUGCUAAGUACCAUGGCCUUGAUUCAAUGAACUGUGUCUACACUCACUCAUUAUAUAUGGAUAUUUAUGUUUCUACUGUAAAAACGAAACAAAAGACAACCACCUCUAGAAAGGCAUAGUGAGGUUGCUUUUCAUAAGUGCUGUGGGUUUAUUCCUGGAAAGGAAAGAGGAAAUGUUGGGCACCAUGAGGUGAUCUUGAUAAUGCAACGGGAGAGAGUAUACUUAGCCCCCCCCACCCCCCCCCC
rnacentral:lncRNA from 1 species